rnacentral:tRNA from 1 species
GUUAUUGUAGCUUAACAACUAAAAAGCACAGCACUGAAGAUGCUGAGAUGGAUGGCCAACACGUCCCAAAAACA